UAUGCAUCUCCCACACACCACUCUCAGAACAGAUCAAAACGCACCACAUCUGUAGAGCUUAGAAGCAUCUCACAUCUCUUCAAUCCACGACAGACAUCAUGGUUUUCACUGUGUCUAUGAGGGGUCUUCUUCUGGUCUGUCUGCUUCCUCUUUGUACUCAAAGUCUGGAUGUGACUGCAGACCCACAAACUCUUAUGGAAAUUGUUAAAAUUUUUAGGAGUAGAUUACAUUUAGAGAUGCAAUACGCUGUAGCCAUCAAUCUUGAGAUGGAUGAAUGCCUCCCAAAUGCUCAUUUAAAUUCUAUGGUUUUGGGCUUCAGGAAUUUACAAAACGUUGGAACUGACAUAGGACAGGACAACAUUUUUGUCUCAGAUGACCUCAUUGCUGCAAAAUACAAGACUGUAAAUACAGGAAAAAUUAUUUACACAGAGCAUGCAGAGUUUCGGCUAAUUAAUUAUUUGUACAGAGUUUUGCAAAGAAGUAAUCGAUGUGUGAUUUAUUUAUCUUUAAUAUCACCGUGUUUGAACAAAUGCCUUAAUGGGCAAUAUAGCAUUGAAAGUAGUCUUAGGCAAUUACAGUCAUACACAGGAAUUAAAGCCUUUUUGUUUGAACACUUAAAUAAUGGUGAUAACAUGCAGAUGAUGGUCAAUAGAAUGAAAGAAAUAGCACCUGAUUUGCCUCUUUUUCAGUGUGACCAUUUGAAACAAUCUACUUGUGUUCUCCUAUAGGUUGAAAGGUAGCACUUAAAUUUACAUUUAUUCAUUUACAGACGCUUUUAUCCAAAGUGAAUUACAAAUGAUGUAUUCAACAUAAGUGAAUCAUUCUAUGGAAUAAUCUACAAAUCUUUUAAAGUUACUAUAAUAAGAUGAUUGCUUGACUGAAUAAAAAUCUUUU